rnacentral:rRNA from 1 species
ACAUGCAAGUCGAACGUAACAGGAAGCAGCUUGCUGCUUCGCUGACGAGUGGCGGACGGGUGAGUAAUGUCUGGGAAACUGCCUGAUGGAGGGGGAUAACUACUGGAAACGGUGGCUAAUACCGCAUAACGUCGCAAGACCAAAGAGGGGGACCUUCGGGCCUCUUGCCAUCAGAUGUGCCCAGAUGGGAUUAGCUUGUUGGUGAGGUAACGGCUCACCAAGGCGACGAUCCCUAGCUGGUCUGAGAGGAUGACCAGCCACACUGGAACUGAGACACGGUCCAGACUCCUACGGGAGGCAGCAGUGGGGAAUAUUGCACAAUGGGCGCAAGCCUGAUGCAGCCAUGCCGCGUGUAUGAAGAAGGCCUUCGGGUUGUAAAGUACUUUCAGCGGGGAGGAAGGUGUUGUGGUUAAUAACCGCAGCAAUUGACGUUACCCGCAGAAGAAGCACCGGCUAACUCCGUGCCAGCAGCCGCGGUAAUACGGAGGGUGCAAGCGUUAAUCGGAAUUACUGGGCGUAAAGCGCACGCAGGCGGUCUGUCAAGUCGGAUGUGAAAUCCCCGGGCUCAACCUGGGAACUGCAUUCGAAACUGGCAGGCUUGAGUCUUGUAGAGGGGGGUAGAAUUCCAGGUGUAGCGGUGAAAUGCGUAGAGAUCUGGAGGAAUACCGGUGGCGAAGGCGGCCCCCUGGACAAAGACUGACGCUCAGGUGCGAAAGCGUGAGGAGCAAACAGGAUUAGAUACCCUGGUAGUCCACGCCGUAAACGAUGUCUACUUGGAGGUUGUGCCCUUGAGGCGUGGCUUCCGGAGCUAACGCGUUAAGUAGACCGCCUGGGGAGUACGGCCGCAAGGUUAAAACUCAAAUGAAUUGACGGGGGCCCGCACAAGCGGUGGAGCAUGUGGUUUAAUUCGAUGCAACGCGAAGAACCUUACCUGGUCUUGACAUCCACAGAAGAAUCCAGAGAUGGAUUUGUGCCUUCGGGAACUGUGAGACAGGUGCUGCAUGGCUGUCGUCAGCUCGUGUUGUGAAAUGUUGGGUUAAGUCCCGCAACGAGCGCAACCCUUAUCCUUUGUUGCCAGCGAUUAGGUCGGGAACUCAAAGGAGACUGCCAGUGAUAAACUGGAGGAAGGUGGGGAUGACGUCAAGUCAUCAUGGCCCUUACGACCAGGGCUACACACGUGCUACAGUGGCGCAUACAAAGAGACGCGAAAUUGCGUGACCAAGCGAA